rnacentral:rRNA from 1 species
ACGGCGAGUGAAGCGGCAACAGCUCAAAUUUGAAAUCUGGCUUCGGCCCGAGUUGUAAUUUGUAGAGGAUGCUUUGGGCGCGGCUCCAACUGAGUUCCCUGGAACGGGACGCCACAGAGGGUGAGAGCCCCGUAUAGUUGGAUGCCUAGCCUGUGUAAAGCUCCUUCGACGAGUCGAGUAGUUUGGGAAUGCUGCUCUAAAUGGGAGGUAAAUUUCUUCUAAAGCUAAAUAUUGGCCAGAGACCGAUAGCGCACAAGUAGAGUGAUCGAAAGAUGAAAAGCACUUUGAAAAGAGGGUUAAAUAGCACGUGAAAUUGUUGAAAGGGAAGCGCUUGUGACCAGACUUGGGCCUGGCGGAUCAUCCGGUGUUCUCACCGGUGCACUCCGCCAGGCACAGGCCAGCAUCGGUUCUCGUGGGGGGAUAAAGGUCCCGGGAACGUAGCUCCUCCGGGAGUGUUAUAGCCCGGGGCGUAAUGCCCUCGCGGGGACCGAGGUUCGCGCAUCUGCAAGGAUGC